rnacentral:lncRNA from 1 species
UUUUCUCUGCUGGUCGUUUUUACCAUCCAGCAUAGUCUUUUGACCCUUUGUCUUUGUCUCAUGUCUCAUUAAGCUGUCGCUUUUUUAAUUUCUCCAAGCCGAGGGUACCAAACUGUGAGAACUCUUAGGUUCUUUUAUGCUACUAACCCGUAGGUUCAUUCCCAGCCAACAAUGCAUGCACUACCAAGCCAAUCAUCAAGGAUCGCUCUUCUUAUAACUCUCAGCCAUAGUCUUUGCACCCUUUGUCUUUGUCUCAUGUCUCAUUAAGCUGUCGCUUUUUUUACUUUCUGCAAGCCGAGGGUACCAAACCAGCCAACAAUGCAUGCACUACCAAGCCAAUCAUCAAUGAUCUCUCUUCUUUUAACUCCCAGCCAUAGUCUUUUGACCCUUUGUCUUUGUCUCAUGUCUCAUUAAGCUGUCGCUUUGUUUAAUUUCUCCAAGCCGAAGGUACCAAACAGUGAGAACUCUUAGGUUCUUUUAUGCUACUAACCCGUAGGUUCAUUCCCAGCCAACAAUGCAUGCACUACCAAGCCAAUCAUCAAGGAUCGCUCUUCUUUUAACUCUCAGCCAUAGUCUUUGCACCCUUUGUCUUUGUCUCAUGUCUCAUUAAGCUGUCGCUUUUUUUACUUUCUGCAAGCCGAGGGUACCAAACCAGCCAACAAUGCAUGCACUACCAAGCCAAUCAUCAAUGAUCUCUCUUCUUUUAACUCCCAGCCAUAGUCUUUUGACCCUUUGUCUUUGUCUCAUGUCUCAUUAAGCUGUCGCUUUGUUUAAUUUCUCCAAGCCGAAGGUACCAAACAGUGAGAACUCUUAGGUUCUUUUAUGCUACUAACCCGUAGGUUCAUUUCCAGCCAACAAUGCAUGCACUACCAAACCAAUCAUCAAGUAUCUCUCUUCUUUUCGUUCCCAGCCAUUGUCUUUUGAUACUUUGUCUCUCUCUUAUGUCUCAUUAAGCUGUCGCUUUUUUUAAUUUCUCCAAGCUGAGGGUACCAAACUGUGAGAACUCGUAGGUUCUUUUAUGCUACUAACCCGUAGGUUCAUUCCCAGCCAACAAUGCAUGCACUACCAAGCCAAUCAUCAAGGAUCGCUCUUCUUUUAACUCCCAGCCAUAGUCUUUGACCCUUUGUCUUUGUCUCAUGUCUCAUUAAGCUGUCGCUUUUUUAAUUUCUCCAAGCCGAGGGUACCAAACUGUGAGAACUCUUAGGUUCUUCUAUGCUACUAACCCGUAG